GCUGGCGUAGCUCAGUCGGUAGAGCGAGUCGCCGCGAGGGGACCGGCGGAGGUUCGAUCCCUCCCGCCAGCG
rnacentral:tRNA from 1 species